UUAAGCGACUAAGCGUACACGGUGGAUGCCCUGGCAGUCAGAGGCGAUGAAGGACGUGCUAAUCUGCGAAAAGCGUCGGUAAGGUGAUAUGAACCGUUAUAACCGGCGAUGUCCGAAUGGGGAAACCCAGUGCAAUUCGUUGCACUAUCGUUAACUGAAUACAUAGGUUAACGAGGCGAACCGGGGGAACUGAAACAUCUAAGUACCCCGAGGAAAAGAAAUCAACCGAGAUUCCCCCAGUAGCGGCGAGCGAACGGGGAGCAGCCCAGAGUCUGAAUCAGCUUGUGUGUUAGUGGAACGGUCUGGAAAGUCCGACGGUACAGGGUGAUAGUCCCGUACACCAAAAUGCACAGGUUGUGAACUCGAAGAGUAGGGCGGGACACGUGGUAUCCUGUCUGAAUAUGGGGGGACCAUCCUCCAAGGCUAAAUACUCCUGACUGACCGAUAGUGAACCAGUACCGUGAGGGAAAGGCGAAAAGAACCCCGGCGAGGGAGUGAAAAGAACCUGAAACCGUGUACGUACAAGCAGUGGGAGCACCUUCGGGUGUGACUGCGUACCUUUGUAUAAUGGGUCAGCGACUUAUAUUCUGUAGCAAGGUUAACCGUAUAGGGGAGCCGCAGGGAAACCGAGUCUUAACUGGGCGUUAAGUUGCAGGGUAUAGACCCGAAACCCGGUGAUCUAGCCAUGGGCAGGUUGAAGGUUGGGUAACACUAACUGGAGGACCGAACCGACUAAUGUUGAAAAAUUAGCGGAUGACUUGUGGCUGGGGGUGAAAGGCCAAUCAAACCGGGAGAUAGCUGGUUCUCCCCGAAAGCUAUUUAGGUAGCGCCUCGUGAACUCAUCUUCGGGGGUAGAGCACUGUUUCGGCUAGGGGGUCAUCCCGACUUACCAACCCGAUGCAAACUACGAAUACCGAAGAAUGUUAUCACGGGAGACACACGGCGGGUGCUAACGUCCGUCGUGAAGAGGGAAACAACCCAGACCGCCAGCUAAGGUCCCAAAGUCAUGGUUAAGUGGGAAACGAUGUGGGAAGGCACAGACAGCCAGGAUGUUGGCUUAGAAGCAGCCAUCAUUUAAAGAAAGCGUAAUAGCUCACUGGUCGAGUCGGCCUGCGCGGAAGAUGUAACGGGGCUAAACCAUGCACCGAAGCUGCGGCAGCGACACUAUGUGUUGUUGGGUAGGGGAGCGUUCUGUAAGCCUGCGAAGGUGUGCUGUGAGGCAUGCUGGAGGUAUCAGAAGUGCGAAUGCUGACAUAAGUAACGAUAAAGCGGGUGAAAAGCCCGCUCGCCGGAAGACCAAGGGUUCCUGUCCAACGUUAAUCGGGGCAGGGUGAGUCGACCCCUAAGGCGAGGCCGAAAGGCGUAGUCGAUGGGAAACAGGUUAAUAUUCCUGUACUUGGUGUUACUGCGAAGGGGGGACGGAGAAGGCUAUGUUAGCCGGGCGACGGUUGUCCCGGUUUAAGCAUGUAGGCUGAUUGUCCAGGCAAAUCCGGAUAAUCAAGGCUGAGGUGUGAUGACGAGGCACUACGGUGCUGAAGUAACAAAUGCCCUGCUUCCAGGAAAAGCCUCUAAGCAUCAGGUAACAUUAAAUCGUACCCCAAACCGACACAGGUGGUCAGGUAGAGAAUACCAAGGCGCUUGAGAGAACUCGGGUGAAGGAACUAGGCAAAAUGGUGCCGUAACUUCGGGAGAAGGCACGCUGGUGUGUAGGUGAAGUCCCUGCGGAUGGAGCUGAGACCAGUCGAAGAUACCAGCUGGCUGCAACUGUUUAUUAAAAACACAGCACUGUGCAAACACGAAAGUGGACGUAUACGGUGUGACGCCUGCCCGGUGCCGGAAGGUUAAUUGAUGGGGUUAUCCGUCGAAGCCCCGGUAAACGGCGGCCGUAACUAUAACGGUCCUAAGGUAGCGAAAUUCCUUGUCGGGUAAGUUCCGACCUGCACGAAUGGCGUAAUGAUGGCCAGGCUGUCUCCACCCGAGACUCAGUGAAAUUGAACUCGCUGUGAAGAUGCAGUGUACCCGCGGCAAGACGGAAAGACCCCGUGAACCUUUACUAUAGCUUGACACUGAACAUUGAGCCUUGAUGUGUAGGAUAGGUGGGAGGCUUUGAAGCGUGGACGCCAGUCUGCGUGGAGCCAACCUUGAAAUACCACCCUUUAAUGUUUGAUGUUCUAACGUUGGCCCCUGACCGGGGUUGCGGACAGUGUCUGGUGGGUAGUUUGACUGGGGCGGUCUCCUCCCAAAGCGUAACGGAGGAGCACGAAGGUUAGCUAAUCCUGGUCGGACAUCAGGAGGUUAGUGCAAUGGCAUAAGCUAGCUUGACUGCGAGCGUGACGGCGCGAGCAGGUGCGAAAGCAGGUCAUAGUGAUCCGGUGGUUCUGAAUGGAAGGGCCAUCGCUCAACGGAUAAAAGGUACUCCGGGGAUAACAGGCUGAUACCGCCCAAGAGUUCAUAUCGACGGCGGUGUUUGGCACCUCGAUGUCGGCUCAUCACAUCCUGGGGCUGAAGUAGGUCCCAAGGGUAUGGCUGUUCGCCAUUUAAAGUGGUACGCGAGCUGGGUUUAGAACGUCGUGAGACAGUUCGGUCCCUAUCUGCCGUGGGCGCUGGAGAAUUGAGGGGGGCUGCUCCUAGUACGAGAGGACCGGAGUGGACGCAUCACUGGUGUUCGGGUUGUCAUGCCAAUGGCACUGCCCGGUAGCUAAAUGCGGAAGAGAUAAGUGCUGAAAGCAUCUAAGCACGAAACUUGCCCCGAGAUGAGUUCUCCCUGAGACUUUAAGUCUCCUGAAGGAACGUUGAAGACGACGACGUUGAUAGGCCGGGUGUGUAAGCGCAGCGAUGCGUUGAGCUAACCGGUACUAAUGAACCGUGAGGCUUAACCU
rnacentral:rRNA from 1 species